ACUGAGACACGGCCCAAACUACUACGGGAGGCAGCAGUAGGGAAUCUUCCACAAUGGACGCAAGUCUGAUGGAGCAACGCCGCGUGAGUGAAGAAGGCUUUCGGGUCGUAAAACUCUGUUGUUGGAGAAGAAUGGUCGGCAGAGUAACUGUUGUCGGCGUGACGGUAUCCAACCAGAAAGCCACGGCUAACUACGUGCCAGCAGCCGCGGUAAUACGUAGGUGGCAAGCGUUAUCCGGAUUUAUUGGGCGUAAAGCGAGCGCAGGCGGUUUUUUAAGUCUGAUGUGAAAGCCCUCGGCUUAACCGAGGAAGCGCAUCGGAAACUGGGAAACUUGAGUGCAGAAGAGGACAGUGGAACUCCAUGUGUAGCGGUGAAAUGCGUAGAUAUAUGGAAGAACACCAGUGGCGAAGGCGGCUGUCUGGUCUGUAACUGACGCUGAGGCUCGAAAGCAUGGGUAGCGAACAGGAUUAGAUACCCUGGUAGUCCAUGCCGUAAACGAUGAAUGCUAGGUGUUGGAGGGUUUCCGCCCUUCAGUGCCGCAGCUAACGCAUUAAGCAUUCCGCCUGGGGAGUACGACCGCAAGGUUGAAACUCAAAGGAAUUGACGGGGGCCCGCACAAGCGGUGGAGCAUGUGGUUUAAUUCGAAGCAACGCGAAGAACCUUACCAGGUCUUGACAUCUUUUGAUCACCUGAGAGAUCAGGUUUCCCCUUCGGGGGCAAAAUGACAGGUGGUGCAUGGUUGUCGUCAGCUCGUGUCGUGAGAUGUUGGGUUAAGUCCCGCAACGAGCGCAACCCUUAUGACUAGUUGCCAGCAUUUAGUUGGGCACUCUAGUAAGACUGCCGGUGACAAACCGGAGGAAGGUGGGGAUGACGUCAAAUCAUCAUGCCCCUUAUGACCUGGGCUACACACGUGCUACAAUGGAUGGUACAACGAGUUGCGAGACCGCGAGGUCAAGCUAAUCUCUUAAAGCCAUUCUCAGUUCGGACUGUAGGCUGCAACUCGCCUACACGAAGUCGGAAUCGCUAGUAAUCGCGGAUCAGCACGCCGCGGUGAAUACGUUCCCGGGCCUUGUACACACCGCCCGUCACACCAUGAGAGUUUGUAACCG
rnacentral:rRNA from 1 species